rnacentral:rRNA from 1 species
UACGGAGGAUGCAAGCGUUAUCCGGAUUUAUUGGGUUUAAAGGGUGCGUAGGCGGACGAUUAAGUCAGUGGUGAAAUGCAACAGCUUAACUGUUGAACUGCCAUUGAUACUGAUUAUCUAGAGUACAGACGACGUUGGCGGAAUGCGACAUGUAGCGGUGAAAUGCUUAGAGAUGUCGCAGAACACCGAUUGCGAAGGCAGCUAACGAGGAUGUAACUGACGCUCAUGCACGAAAGCGUGGGGAUCAAACAGG